UACAGUCACAUCAGGUUGAAACACUGGCUCCUGUAUGAUCACUAGAGUUAAGCAUCAUUGAGCCUGGUCAGUACCUAGAUGGGUAACUGCUUGGGAAUAACAGGUGCUAUA